rnacentral:rRNA from 1 species
AUUGAACGCUGGCGGAAUGCUUUACACAUGCAAGUCGAACGGUAGAGGGGGCAACCCCUCGAGAGUGGCGAACGGGUGAGUAAUAUAUCGGAACGUGCCCAGUCGUGGGGGAUAACGUAGCGAAAGUUACGCUAAUACCGCAUACGAUCUAAGGAUGAAAGCGGGGGAUCGCAAGACCUCGCGCGAUUGGAGCGGCCGAUAUCAGAUUAGGUAGUUGGUGGGGUAAAGGCUCACCAAGCCAACGAUCUGUAGCUGGUCUGAGGACGACCAGCCACACUGGAACUGAGACACGGUCCAGACUCCUACGGGAGGCAGCAGUGGGGAAUUUUGGACAAUGGACGCAAGUCUGAUCCAGCCAUUCCGCGUGCAGGAUGAAGGUCCUCGGGUUGUAAACUGCUUUUGUACGGAACGAAAAGGUCUCUCUUAAUACGGGGGACUCAUGACGGUAUCGUAAGAAUAAGCACCGGCUAACUACGUGCCAGCAGCCGCGGUAA